CCUACGGGGGGCAGCAGUCGGGAAUAUUGCGCAACGGGCGAAAGCCUGACGCAGCAACGCCGCGUGGAGGAUGAAGGCCUUCGGGUUGUAAACUCCUGUCAGGUGGGAAGAACGGACAUCGGUUAAGAGCUAGUGCCUCUGACGGUACCACCAGAGGAAGCCCCGGCUAACUCCGUGCCAGCAGCCGCGGU
rnacentral:rRNA from 1 species